ACGGGGGAUGCAAGCGUUAUCCGGAAUUAUUGGGCGUAAAGAGUCCGUAGGUGGUUUUACAAGUCUGUUGUCAAAGCCCGCAGCUCAACUGCGGAGAGGCAAUGGAAACUGUGAGACUAGAGUGUGGUAGGGGUAGAGGGAAUUCCCAGUGUAGCGGUGAAAUGCGUAGAUAUUGGGAAGAACACCGGUGGCGAAAGCGCUCUACUGGGCCACAACUGACACUGAGGGACGAAAGCCAAGGUAGCGAAAGGG
rnacentral:rRNA from 1 species